rnacentral:lncRNA from 1 species
CCGCAGCAUGGGCUACUGUCCCCAGUCUGAUGCCAUCUUCGACCUGCUGACCGGCCGGGAACAUCUAGAACUGUUUGCGCGCCUGCGCGGGGUGCCCGAGGCCCAAGUUGCCCAGGUAAACGCGCCCUGUCCAGGUGCUAACCAGGGCCUGGCCCUUCUCGGUGGCCCCGCCCACGCUCACCUGGCCCGCUCCGCAGACAGCGCUCUCUGGCCUGGUGCGCCUGGGCCUUCCUAGCUACGCAGACCGACCCGCGGGUACCUACAGCGGAGGCAACAAACGGAAGCUGGCGACAGCUCUGGCUCUGGUUGGUGAUCCAGCAGUGGUCUUUCUGGACGAGCCCACCACAGGCAUGGACCCAAGUGCGCGGCGAUUUCUUUGGAACAACUUGCUGUCCGUGGUGCGUGAGGGCCGCUCCGUAGUGCUCACGUCGCACAGGUGAGCCCCAGGGCCACACUCUGGCCACCUCUCAGGAUGAGGUGAUCCUGAACCCGGUGAGGUCCCUAGAGUGGGACAAAAAGCAUGGUUCCCGGGCAGACAGGCUGGGCCCAGCCGCGCUCACACUGUCAUCCGCAGCAUGGAAGAGUGUGAAGCGCUCUGCACGCGCCUGGCCAUCAUGGUGAACGGGCGGUUCCGCUGUCUGGGAAGCGCUCAGCAUCUCAAAAGCAGGUGAGCUGGGCAGGAUGGACUGACAUGAAGCGCGCUGUGGGCGUGGUUAGGGCUAGAGGCUAGGGGCAGGGCCGUUUGAUGCCUCUUAGGGGCGGAGCCAGCU